AUUGAACGCUGGCGGCAUGCCUUACACAUGCAAGUCGAACGGCAGCACGGGAGCAAUCCUGGUGGCGAGUGGCGAACGGGUGAGUAAAGUAUCGGAACGUGCCCAGUCGUGGGGGAUAACGUAGCGAAAGUUACGCUAAUACCGCAUACGAUCUAUGGAUGAAAGCGGGGGAUCGCAAGACCUCGCGCGAUUGGAGCGGCCGAUAUCAGAUUAGGUAGUUGAUGGGGUAAAGGCUCACCAAGCCGACGAUCUGCAGCUGGUCUGAGAGGACGACCAGCCACACUGGGACUGAGACACGGCCCAGACUCUUACGGGAGGCAGCAGUGGGGAAUUUUGGACAAUGGGCGAAAGCCUGAUCCAGCCAUGCCGCGUGCAGGAUGAAGGCCUUCGGGUUGUAAACUGCUUUUGUACGGAACGAAAAGGUUUGGCCUAAUAAGCUGAGCUCAUGACGGUACCGUAAGAAUAAGCACCGGCUAACUACGUGCCAGCCGCCGCAGUAA
rnacentral:rRNA from 1 species